AAUUGUAGAGGUCGCGAUAAUUAUUAGUACCAAUGACGAGUUAAGCACAAAGACUCAUUGGAAAAGGAAUUGUCGCCGAAGGGUAUAACUGAUGCUUUAAGGUUAUAUGCCUGGGGAUGUAUAAAAUAUAUGCAUAACUAUCACAAAGUCAAUUUGUGUUGAGCUACAU
rnacentral:ncRNA from 1 species